GUGAGAGUGCUGUGUGUGUUAAAGUGCUGUGUGUGAUGGGUGUGAGAGUGCUGUGUGAGAGAGAGUGCUGUGUGUGUGUGAGAGUGCUGUGUGUGAUGGGUGUGAGAGUGCUGUGUGAGAGAGAGUGCUGUGUGUGUGUGAGAGUGCUGUGUGUGAUGGGUGUGAGAGAGUGCUGUGUGUGAUGGGUGUGAGAGUGCUGUAUAAAUGUUAUUGUGUGUAUGUAGGGGGGG